AUUGAACGCUGGCGGCAUGCCUUACACAUGCAAGUCUAACGGCAGCACGGGAGCAAUCCUGGUGGCGAGUGGCGAACGGGUGAGUAAUAUAUCGGAACGUGCCCAGUCGUGGGGGAUAACGCAGCGAAAGCUGUGCUAAUACCGCAUACGAUCUACGGAUGAAAGCGGGGGAUCGCAAGACCUCGCGCGAUUGGAGCGGCCGAUAUCAGAUUAGCUAGUUGGUGGGGUAAAGGCCAACCAAGGCGAAGAUCUGUAGCUUGUCUGAGAGGACGACCAGCCACACUGGAACUGAGACACGGUCCAGACUCCUACGGGAGGCAGCAGUGGGGAAUUUUGGACAAUGGGCGCAAGCCUGAUCCAGCAAUGCCGCGUGCAGGAUGAAGGCCUUCGGGUUGUAAACUGCUUUUGUACGGAACGAAACGGCCCUUUCUAAUACAGGGGGCUAAUGACGGUACCGUAAGAAUAAGCACCGGCUAACUACGUGCCAGCAGCCGCGGUAAGAC
rnacentral:rRNA from 1 species